CCUACGGGAGGCUGCAGUCGAGAAUCUUUCGCAAUGGGCGAAAGCCUGACGAAGCGACGCCGUGUGUGUGAUGAAGGCCUUCGGGUUGUAAAGCACUUUCGCCUGAGAACGAGUAUCAAGUAAAGAAGCACCGGCUAACUACGUGCCAGCAGCUGCGGUAAUACGUAGGGUGCAAGCAUUAAUCGGAUUUAUUGGGCGUAAAGGGCGCGCAGGCGGGGAUGCAAGUCAGAUGUGAAAUCCCGGGGCUCAACCCCGGAACAGCAUUUGAAACUACAUCUCUAGAGGGUAGACGGAGAAAGCGGAAUUCCACAAGUAGCGGUGAAAUGCGUAGAUAUGUGGAAGAACACCAGUGGCGAAGGCGGCUUUCUAGUUUAUCCUGACGCUGAGGCGCGAAAGCAAGGGGAGCAAACAGGAUUAGAUACCCUUGUAGUC
rnacentral:rRNA from 1 species